AUUGAACGCUGGCGGCAUGCCUUACACAUGCAAGUCGAACGGCAGCAUGGAAGAGCUUGCUCUUCUGAUGGCGAGUGGCGAACGGGUGAGUAAAGCAUCGGAACGUACCGUGUAGUGGGGGAUAACGUAGCGAAAGUUACGCUAAUACCGCAUACGCACUGAGGUGGAAAGCAGGGGAUCGCAAGACCUUGCGCUAUACGAGCGGCCGAUGUCAGAUUAGCUAGUUGGUAGGGUAAAAGCUUACCAAGCCGACGAUCUGUAGCUGGUCUGAGAGGACGACCAGCCACACUGGGACUGAGACACGGCCCAGACUCCUACGGGAGGCAGCAGUGGGGAAUAUUGGACAAUGGGCGAAAGCCUGAUCCAGCCAUGCCGCGUGUGUGAAGAAGGCCUUUUGGUGUAAGCACUUUAAGCGAGGAGGA
rnacentral:rRNA from 1 species